GGAGUUGGAGUAAGAAGAAAGACCGUCAGAGUGAUGUUUAUGAUAGAUGAAUAAUCAACCUGGAAGCCAAAACAUCACCCUGAUCUACUGAGAAAACUGGUACUGGAAGACAGGCUGACAUGAGAAGACUUCCUAAUCCUGAAUUCUAGAAUGAGAACCUGAAUCUGAGAAGCCAAGGAAAAGAGGAAGCCUCUUGGAAAAGAGGCUAAGCUAAGAAGAUAGAAAGGAGAAGAAAGGGGCAGCAGGUUAGACUGCUGGUGAGAGAGGACCUCCCCUCCGUGGCUUGUCUGGUCUGAACUGUAGCAGGAGCUGCACCGGAAGUGCUGUAAACCAGGAAGAUGGUGAGGUCGUCCCUGAAGACAGGGUACAGGUCAAGAGGUACUUCCUCAGCAAGAGUAAGGCGAAUCCCUGAAGUCCGGACACAGGUCACUUAAGAAUGGGAUGCUUCCUGGCUCUCCUGCGCUCAGUGAGUGGAGCUGUCACCUGACCAGCCUCCCCUGGAUUCCUCUGCGAGCAGGCGAGCAGGCAGGAGAGGACAGCCACACACGCGAAGGGGUGGGAGCUUGUUGCCAGGCUCCAGGUGGCUCCUCUGCCAGCGCCCCCAUACCGGGUCCCUGUCCACCAGUUUGUAGCCGAAUGGCUGAAGACCCAGCCUGGUCAUCAGAUCUGGUAUCUUGUCUCACUGCUGUACCUUACUGGUUAAGAUAACUCGCUAAACGUCUAUAAGUUCCGUUUCCCCGUGAAUAAAGACAAGCAUCC
rnacentral:lncRNA from 1 species